rnacentral:rRNA from 1 species
CGAAAGCCUGACGGAGCAAGACCGCGUGGGGGAGGAAGGCUCUUGGGUUGUAAACCCCUUUUGUCAGGGAAGAAAAAAUGACGGUACCUGACGAAUCAGCCUCGGCUAACUCCGUGCCAGCAGCCGCGGUAAUACGGAGGAGGCAAGCGUUAUCCGGAAUCAUUGGGCGUAAAGCGUCCGUAGGUGGCCCUUCAAGUCUGCAGUCAAAGGUCACAGCUCAACUGUGAAAAGGCAGUGGAAACUGAAGAGCUAGAGAGCGGUAGGGGUAGAGGGAAUUCCCAGUGUAGCGGUGAAAUGCGUAGAGAUUGGGAAGAACACCAGUGGCGAAAGCGCUCUACUGGGCCGCAACUGACACUGAUGGACGAAAGCU